rnacentral:lncRNA from 1 species
GGAGUCUGUAACAAAAACCAGCAUGGGAGCUGCAAGCAGGUAUUUAAAUAGUUUGAGUGCGAGUGCGAAACUGGUUUAAAAAGCAUUUCCUGAAGGUACAAUCACUUCUGGCACCAGAGUAGAAACACUUAUGCAUAUUUCUGCACCCUGGGGCAGUUUUCAAGGAUGUUGCUAAUGUUAAAUUUGAACUAAAAGGGCUUUAAUUUUUCUUUUUGAUGGGAAGCACUCAUGCAAAUAAGAUAGCCUUUGGGCAGCUGUCUAUUUUUCCAUGUUUUUUUUCUUUCUUUUUUCCUUUUCGGAAGAAUGCCGAAAAUGGAAAUUUCCACACUGAAGUAACCUAUUUGGUCAUGUAUUUUUAGUGUGCCUGGAAACGUGAAGUAAAAUGCAAUCAGUGCUUAACUUAUCAUGCUUGUUUCUAUCCUGGCUUGAAAGGAUCCUUGUUUCACUUUGGCACUGUGUUGUAGCUGCUCCCAGACAGGGAAAUUGCAGCAACUUCCAUUUGUCCUUCACCUCAUGGCACAGUGCGCACAAGAUCUACGGGCAGUUAUCCUAGCUGAAAAUCAGAGCCAAGCUGCGGAAUGAAGACAGGAAAGCCCACUUCACAGAGGACAGGGAUGAAACCUCAUAAGUCAUCUGUCAGGGGGAGCUGAGCCCCAGCACGAUGUGAUGUGGAGGUGUGGUACGUGACAUCUGGGCACUCCCACUGCGCUGCUGGCUGCAGCCAUCUGAACGGAUGAAAUAAACCUCAGAGACAGCACAAUUAUGCACAUUUUAAGAUACAGAGAUUUAUAAAGCAUGAAGAAAAUUAUACUUUGAAGAUCUUUGCAGAGCUGUGAUUGUAAGAUCUACGGAGGGAUAUAUGCAGCUGAUGUGUCCCUAUGGUUUGUAUUUCUUAGGGGCAAACCCCCGUACUUGCUCAAGAAAAGUAGCAGCACAUGCUGCUUGAAUAUCCAUCUUCAUGGGACAGUAUUUGUGGAAGAAAGUGUGGUAAAGAUGCUAGAAAAAAAGCUCAAAAAAUGGUGGGGAGUUGGCAGGUGGCAGCUGCUGCUUGGGGACUGGUUGGGCAUCGGUUGGUGGGUGGUGAGCCGCUGCUUGUGCAUCAAUAGUUUUGUGUGUGUGUAUAUAUAUUAUAUUUUAUAUUAUUAUUACUAUUAUUUUUUUACUUUGUAUUUUCUGUCUUGAUACAUAGUUUUUAUUUCAACCUGUGAGUUCUCAUUUUUUUUUCCCUUGUAUAUCCUUACCUGACUACAGAAAAGAAAAGAAUAUUCUGCUUUCUGCAGCUCCACAAGCAAAUCCCCAGUAGCGAUACCACCACUGCAGCCUUAGGCUUUUUGUCUGCUACUGACCUGUCUCUCUGUUAUGUUGGUAGAAAGGUUUUGAGGGGCAACUUUAUCAGAUUUAGGCAGCAUUGCCCUCAUACAAAAGAUCAGCUAGGGUUGGACUGUUAAAGGGAUAUUGAUAGGUCCCUGAGUGCAGUGUCUCUUACAGAGCAGGGUUAGUUCUACCCAGACCUUCCCAACAGAUGGCUGUAGGGGCAUGCAUGAGCAGCUGCUGGAGGCCAUCUCCUCUUAAGUAAGAUGGAGUGUAAUUGGAGCUACAUCCCAGCAGCUCAGGCAUGACUGCUUGGAGAGGCUAAGAGACUGGAGAUAACACCUCAAAGGCCAGAGAGAAAAGCUGCUGUUCACCUCUCUGACAGACUGUGUUGCAUAUUGAGGCGUUUGACUGUUUUCAAGUCAUUGUUAUGAAGAACGUUUGCAGAAAAAACCUUGGCACUUGAUCUGAUUUCUCACAUUUCCCCCUCUGAACUCCACGCCCCUGAUGAAGAACCAGACAGGAACGGGACCGGCUGCUCUGUAUGGAGGAGGGCUACAGAGCAGUCUGUGAGAUGGUUCGCAUCACCACUUGCUGUACUGAAGGCAGCAGACAUAGAUGUUAAGCUCAGUGAAAAGAAACUGCAAUGCAGUGCAUCAGCAUCGGGAACAAUAAACAUAAAUCUGACACCUAAUAGUUCUUUCAGAGAAUUGAUUUAAAGUCUGGAUUAUUUCCCAUCCCGGGCAUGCAUCAUAUCCCCCAGCAGCAAACUGAAGGAUGUACCGUGACCCUAGUUACUACAGAAAUGUUCAUGGAUCAGAGACCCUGCAGUCAACCUUCUUGUUCUGACCAAUCAUUAACCAGGAGGAACAUUGUGGAGCUGCCGCUGCUUUUUCCUGAGUUACUUUAACAGACUGACCACAGGCAUGUUCCUUCGUCCUUAGAAGAGUUCCAGAAGAUUAGUCAGCUAAACCUGACAAGGCUUCUGGGAAGCUGGAAAGGACUUGGCUCAGCAUAUUAGGAACUAAGUGAUGAUGACAACCCUGUGGAUUUGUUCACUCCAUCCUAAAGAGGACUUCCCGUCAUAGUACUUUGUGCAUGGAUUUAGGAAAAUUUGAAUGAUUCAAGUAGAGAUCCAUGCGUCUCUCUGGCAUGUACUCCCCGAGGGAGCUGCAAUCAAAACUCCAGGGAUGGAAAGCCAGAGACAGAACCACAUGGAUGAAGCUCUGCAUUGCUCGAGAAUACCUCCUUCAGACACAUCAUCUUCUUCCCCUGCACUUGUCUUUCACGUACUUGAUUCUGGCAGUGGCAUUAUGAAGAACUACAGGACUGAAGCAGUAAUGACACUGCAUUCCCUGCAGAACAAAGAGCUGCUUCUGCCACGCUGUGCGUUGUGUUCCAUGACAGGCUUAUCCAGCAGAACCAGGGAAUAACCUAACCGGACCGAGACUGCAAAGGUAUGAGUGUUUUGGAGAACUAUCGUUUGAAGAAUGCAGCUGCUUUUCACUGGUUGGUAUCUACAUGUGUAUGGAGUUCUGUGCAGUGGUUGAAUGUGCAGCGCUUCGAGACCUUUCGGUACGCGGGGAGAUUAAGGAACCACAGAGCUUGAGAGAGAGGAGUUUGCAUCCCUUGUGAGAAUUCUGAUAUCCCUGUGUUCAUAUAUGUUGAUAUUCUCUUCUGAAUGGUGACCUGUUUACGUUGGAUGGAGCCUAAAGACCCAAAGACCCUGGAUAUCCUUGGACUGAGUUGCUUAAGGACACGUUGCUUUCCAAAGACCCUGAAGAAUGGUGUGCUACCAAGGAUUUUUCAGUCCCAGCUGGCAGCGGAGGGGCGGUCUGACAAAAUGGCACCUGACAUGGAACUGUGGAUGAGGAAAAGGUGUGGAAUUGAAUUCUUCCAUUCAGAAAAAAAAAUGCAUCUAUUGAAAUCUUGGUAUGUCUCUGGCUAUAGCACUGUCACCCUCUGGGCCAUGAAGCAGUGAACUGUUUCGCUACUCAGUAGCAAGGAAGUUAAGUUUGUCUAUCCUGGUGAGAUUUGAGGAGAAAAUCUGUUGCUGAGGACAAGAAGUGCCUGUAAGUUUGCCGGGCAGGACAAAUAUGAGCUCCCAUCUAUUGUGCUGGCCGUAGGAACAGACCAUCACCUCUCCCUUUCCCAGACUAAGCUCCAAUUAAUUUCCACUCAGAGGUAAACUCUGAUACUCGGAUACAGUGAACAAAUACAAGUAUUCAGACUGGCUCCUUUUAGGAGUAUGUGCAGCGGAACAGCUCUGCUCCCCCAGACAAAAUACUUUUUAUGUGAAGUAGGCUACAAUGAAAUUCAGUGACUCUGUUUCUUAGUAGCAGCAUCCACUAGGCAUUGUACUAAAUUUUAACAACGGAACUUAAAAUACUUAUUCAGAUUGGUGCUUCUGACUGUCCGUACAUUGCAAUGUCUGCAAUUAAAAUACAAAAGUAUGAGUAUUGAUUGCAAAAAUAACAUAUAGAUAGAAUAGAAUUCAUAUAGUUCAGAAAAUACUUAAGGUUUGUACAGUGAUGUGACUUUCUGAGGCAUCUAUGGUUAGUGGGCAGUAUUGGUGGCAGGUGGACGGUUGGACUAGAUGGUCUUAGAGGUUUUUUCCAACCUUAAUGAUUCUAUGAUCCUUGAAUACAAGAUAUUGCAUCUCAAGGACUCAUCUCCAGGCUUGCUUCCUAGCAAAUCGAU